ensembl:lncRNA
GAUGAGAGUGAAUACCCUUUGAGGGAAACUCAGACUUAUCUUGCAGAGGACCUUUUGAAUCGCAGCCCAACUGAGUAUGACUUCUCUGUACAUGCCAAAAACUAUGGAUCACAGGAAUUGUGUGAUAACUACACUGCUCAAAAAAAUUAAAGGAACACUUAAUCAGAGUAUAGCAACAAAUCAGAGAAACAUCUGAGAUAUUGAUCUGGUCAGUCAAAUAGCAGAGGGGCGCGGGGGGUCUGGGGGGGUGUCUGUUGGCCAGUUUCAGCUUCUUCGAUGUUAAUGAAAUUAACAAUAGGUGCAAUACAGGAACAACAAUGAGACAAUCCCCCA